UACAGAGGUCUCAAGCGUUGUUCGGAUUCAUUGGGCGUAAAGGGUGCGUAGGUGGCUUGGUAAGUUGAAGGUGAAAUCUCGGGGCUUAACUCCGAAACUGCAUUCGAUACUGCCGUGCUUGAGGACUGGAGAGGAGACUGGAAUUUACGGUGUAGCGGUGAAAUGCGUAGAUAUCGUAAGGAAGACCAGUGGCGAAGGCGGGUCUCUGGACAGUUCCUGACGCUGAGGCACGAAGGCCAGGGGAGCAAACGGG
rnacentral:rRNA from 1 species